GCCGGGAUGGUGGAACUGGUAGACACACAGGACUUAAAAUCCUGUGGGGUAAUAAACCCCGUGCGGGUUCGAGUCCCGCUCCCGGCA
rnacentral:tRNA from 1 species